UAACACUAACUGGAGGACCGAACCGACUAAUGUUGAAAAAUUAGCGGAUGACUUGUGGCUGGGGGUGAAAGGCCAAUCAAACCGGGAGAUAGCUGGUUCUCCCCGAAAGCUAUUUAGGUAGCGCCUCGUGAAUUCAUCUCCGGGGGUAGAGCACUGUUUCGGCAAGGGGGUCAUCCCGACUUACCAACCCGAUGCAAACUGCGAAUACCGGAGAAUGUUAUCACGGGAGACACACGGCGGGUGCUAACGUCCGUCGUGAAGAGGGAAACAACCCAGACCGCCAGCUAAGGUCCCAAAGUCAUGGUUAAGUGGGAAACGAUGUGGGAAGGCCCAGACAGCCAGGAUGUUGGCUUAGAAGCAGCCAUCAUUUAAAGAAAGCGUAAUAGCUCACUGGUCGAGUCGGCCUGCGCGGAAGAUGUAACGGGGCUAAACCAUGCACCGAAGCUGCGGCAGCGACGCUGAUGCGUUGUUGGGUAGGGGAGCGUUCUGUAAGCCUGCGAAGGUGUGCUGUGAGGCAUGCUGGAGGUAUCAGAAGUGCGAAUGCUGACAUAAGUAACGAUAAAGCGGGUGAAAAGCCCGCUCGCCGGAAGACCAAGGGUUCCUGUCCAACGUUAAUCGGGGCAGGGUGAGUCGACCCCUAAGGCGAGGCCGAAAGGCGUAGUCGAUGGGAAACAGGUUAAUAUUCCUGUACUUGGUGUUACUGCGAAGGGGGGACGGAGAAGGCUAUGUUGGCCGGGCGACGGUUGUCCCGGUUUAAGCGUGUAGGCUGGUUUUCCAGGCAAAUCCGGAAAAUCAAGGCUGAGGCGUGAUGACGAGGCACUACGGUGCUGAAGCAACAAAUGCCCUGCUUCCAGGAAAAGCCUCUAAGCAUCAGGUAACAUCAAAUCGUACCCCAAACCGACACAGGUGGUCAGGUAGAGAAUACCAAGGCGCUUGAGAGAACUCGGGUGAAGGAACUAGGCAAAAUGGUGCCGUAACUUCGGGAGAA
rnacentral:rRNA from 1 species